GGUGGGAUACCGGUGGCCCUGACUGAAGACCAGCAGUUAUGCUAUAGCUGUUGGUUUCGAGCAGAGGCCCAAAGGACUGUCUUCCCA
ensembl:miRNA